rnacentral:rRNA from 1 species
CCUACGGGAGGCAGCAGUAGGGAAUAUUGCUCAAUGGGGGAAACCCUGAAGCAGCAACGCCGCGUGGAGGAUGAAGGUUUUAGGAAUGUAAACUCCUUUUGUUAGAGAAGAUAAUGACGGUAUCUAACGAAUAAGCACCGGCUAACUCCGUGCCAGCAGCCGCGGGCAUACGGAGGGUGCAAGCGUUACUCGGAAUCACUGGGCGUAAAGCGCGCGUAGGCGGGAUAUCAAGUCAGAUGUGAAAUCCUACGGCUUAACCAUAGAACUGCAGUUGAAACUGGUAUUCUAGAGUAUGGGAGAGGUAGGUGGAAUUCGUGGUGUAGGGGUAAAAUCCGUAGAUAUCAAGAGGAAUACUCAUUGCGAAGGCGACCUGCUAGAACAUAACUGACGCUGAUGCGCGAAAGCGUGGGGAGCAAACAGGAUUAGAUACCCCUGUAGUC